rnacentral:rRNA from 1 species
GAAGUGGACACACCUGUUCCCAUACCGAACACAGAAGUUAAGCACUUCAGCGCCGACGAUAGUUCCAAGGAGCAAAAAUAGGUCGUUGCCAGGC